ACAGUUACAAACCUUUUCAAUAUCUGAAACCAAGCUGUGUUUACCUGAAGCAAUUGAAAAAGGUCCAUUACCCAGAGACACAAGACUUUCGUUAAUUCUGGGUAUGCUUAUCAGGACUACAAGGCUGACUGUUUACCAAUUUUUAGGAAAGACGAUGCUGUAAGAUGCAGGCUCUCCAAGCUACUUGCACGUUGAACUGAUGUGGUACAAGCAGUAGUGCUUACCGGUGCCAAAUGUGACUGAAACGUUUACCAAGGGGUGAAUGGCAAUGAAGCUGUGAAUGUUGUCAAUCACGAUGACAACAAUUUCUUGUAUCUGCUUCCUCGUGAUUGCAGCAGAACAUUGGAGUAGAUGUUACAGUGAUUAUUCAUCAGUACAUGAAAAGUUUGGGCAACUUGGUAAGUAGGAAGUCAAAGAAACUUUGUUUUUUUAAUCACAUAGACGUUGAUCCAUUUCCUUGGCAGCUUUUUAUGAUGUUCCUGUAUUUUAUGUAUCCCAUACUCCAUCCACUCUGUCAGCUAGUUGUCACUGCCUUUGUAAGUAGAGAUGAACAAUUUGUUGGCACAUUCAUCAAACAUGCUGACAUUGGAGGUAGCAAAAUAUGAACUACAACAGCACCAUGCAAUAUUGUGCAAUCAUUGCUGGCAAGACGGUCUACCUAGCAAGGUUGUUCGAAGCAUCUCAACAUGUCAGACUUCAAAUUUGGCAAUCAAAGGUUGCUAAAGAGUUGUCGGAAGAGAACAACAUCAUUCUGCAGCAGUCUUACCCUUUGCCGUUGCUUUGAUUGUGCCCAAGGGAGUUUGAACAAGGCAAGUCUACUUCUCUCAACCCUUUCAGAGAUGUCACAUGUGCGCUGAAAGCCCAUGGGUGCUCCUGGAAAAUUGACUGCAUAAUAAAUUGUAAAUGUGAAAAAACACUGAUUUGCACACUACUGUGUACGUGUAACUGUAAUGCAAGAUCAGAAGCAUAAACUGAUACAGAAUAAACACAAAACUAGG